GCAAAAGUCAAAUCUAUGGUGCAAACUAGAAUCCAAAAAGCCUAAUUUGUGUCAAAGAGAAUGCAUCAGACCUACAGCAGCCCUCGAAGUCCAUGCUGUAUAUGAAUUUAUUGAUAUUAUCGAAAGAUAAGCUUCUGCAAAA